CUGAGAGAGAGGGAGGAUUCAUGUAUUUAGUAAAUCAUUUUUCAGCGCCUAUUUUGUAGCAAGCUCUCUCUUAGAUAACAGGUAAACAGUGAGAGAAUGGGGAAGAACAAGGAAAGGCAAUACAGCGAUUUAUAAGCAAUUCCAACCCUCAGUUUUGGAGAUUAUGACUGCUGAACUACUAUUUAAAAAUGAAAAAGAGCACUUCGAGCUCAGCUUCCCCUAGCAGUUGGUAGUCCUGUCCUCCCUGCAGGGGUUAAGGGGAGAGAAUGGGCGUCUAUGGACAGAGUUACUGGGCUGUGCGAGACAAGUGGUGUGGGAGACAUCCUUCAGUACAUUCACAAUGGUGUCACUGCCCUGGAGAUGAGGACACACUGUUACAGUUCAGCUCUCAGAUCGUCUCUCAAAUUCAGAGGUGCCAAAAGAUCAAGAGUCCAAAAUUGGGAUCUUACUGGUCUUUCCGAGACAAAGAAGCAUUUGAAAGCAGGGCCUGUGCACCCCCUUGUGUCACCUGGAUGGAAUGAGCUGCCUGAAUUCCUUCCCUGCGUAAAGACCUUCCAAAGCUGAGGAGGAUUUGGGUUUUGUACAAGACACUGUGGUGAAAAUCAAGACAUAUACAAAGUGAUUUAUCAAUUGUCUUCAUAUCCGCUGUGCACUUUGCUUUCAUACCUGUAGGGAAUUUUUAUAUUGUGAAGAGAUCUUGACUUUUGAGUGGGUAAUUAGGUAAGAUUCUUUUUUUAUUCUGGUCAGUCUUCACUAUAGUAUCAUUUUGUAUAACUAAGAGAGUUUUGGCUGCAACAAACUCAUUGAAGAAAAUUCAGAAAAGUGCAUAAUAAUAAAGAGAUAAUUGUUAACAGUGGAUACACUUUUUCUGGUAAUUUCUCUGCAUAUAUAAGCACAUACAUUAUUGUAUAAAUCACAUAGUGGAUGCUAUAUUAUUUUAGGGGUUAUCUUCUUGCUUUUAAAUAUUUGACAUUUUACUGUACGAAAGACAAAUUACAAAUCUUUCAUUCUCACCACAAAUCUCUAGUACUUUAUAAUGAGAGGUAAACUCUUGAUAAAUGCUAAUUAAACUACUGAAUCUCACUAUAUUGUACUGUUUUCAUAAUCAUUUCCCUGCUAUUUGCCUUCUAGUUUGUUCACUGCUGUUAUCACUUAGGGAUCAGCUUCUCUGUGGGUAAAUAUUUUUCCACCUUUCUGCAUAGGAGCUUUGUCAAAUGCAGUGAUUAGCUCAAAGGGAAUAAGGAGCAUAUUGAGUCGCCAGACUGCUUUCCAGCAUAUGCGGACAUCAGCCGGCCUGUGGUAGACGGCACACCUACAAUACAGCUGAACUAUAUUCCAAUCCUUGUCCUUUGACACCACUCUGCUGCCUCUCUAUUAGUCUGGUUAAAUAUGUGGUUGAACAGUGAUAAUCUGAAGAUUUCCAUUAAUUAAUUCUGAUCUACCAAGUCUGUAAUUCUAGCACAAAAAGAAAAGGCUAGUUUAGUAGGGCUUUAACCUUAAACCUUACAAGGCCACUCUAACUCAUGACAACAGAGCCACCAUUAGCACAGAUGAUGCCUUUGCAUGAAGUAGAAAAAGAUGACUGUUCUCCAAGACAUUUUAAUGACCCAGGUAAGAAAAUUAUUCUGAUAAAUUCAUCUAUGAAUAUAGAGGUGUGAACUGCACACUCUGUAGUCAUAAUGCACAAAGCCUGAGUGACUGUAUUUUCUAAGCCCCGAGCAUCCUCUAUUCAAUCCAGCAUGGAGCUGUGUGAGGAUACAGUAUCAGGCUAGGUAAACUGUGUUUUCUAGAAGCCCCUUUUUGAAAAUUGUAGCAGCCUUCAUCUUUCUGUUAUUCCGGCUAUUCUCCAGGGUCCCUUUAAUUUUUUCUUACUAAUGUUUUCAUUGUUCUGAAAUCUUGUGUACAAUUUCUACUCUGGGAUUAUACAUCUUGUCUGAGAGUGAUGGUGGAAAAUAGUCAUUUUAUAAUAAAAUUAUUUCUCUUCAAAAUA